rnacentral:rRNA from 1 species
CACGGGGGGAGCAAGCGUUGUUCGGAAUCACUGGGCGUAAAGGGCGUGUAGGCGGUCAAGUAAGUGGAAUGUGAAAGCCCCCGGCUUACCCGGGGAUCGGCAUCCCAAACUGCUUGGCUUGAGUACGGGAGAGGAUAGGGGAAUUCCUGGUGUAGCGGUGAAAUGCGUAGAUAUCAGGAGGAACACCGGUGGCGAAGGCGCCUAUCUGGCCCGAUACUGACGCUGAUGCGCGAAAGCUAGGGGAGCAAACGGG